UACAGAGGUCCCGAGCGUUGUUCGGAUUCACUGGGCGUAAAGGGUGCGUAGGUGGCUUGGUAAGUUUGAUGUGAAAGCUCAGGGCUUAACCCUGAAAUGGCAUUGAAUACUACUGUGCUGGAGGUUUGGAGGGGGGACUGGAAUUCUUGGUGUAGCAGUGAAAUGCGUAGAUAUCAAGAGGAACACCAGUGGCGAAGGCGAGUCCCUGGACAACACCUGACGCUGAGGCGCGAAAGCUAGGGGAGCAAACAGG
rnacentral:rRNA from 1 species